rnacentral:lncRNA from 1 species
UAACAGAAGAGGGCAUGCUACCAUUAUCCUUACGAAAGAACAUCCCUUCAUAUAAAGGAAUAUUAAUGAGAAUUAUCAAACCACAUAAAACCAUCUGUAUCCCUAACUCCCUAAAAUGAUUAAUGUCUGAAUCCAUAACCACCCACUUUACUCCAUUAACAAAACUGAGAACAUUAACGAGUGCAAGUGUUGAUAAAAUGUUGAACAUUGGUGACGUGGCACCAAAUUCCAUGAUCUCUUUGUUGUAUCUCUGUAACGCAUCUUCUUCAGAAACCUUUGAUGUGAUGACAAAACCAGAAGUGGUGAACCCCAUUGACUUGAAGAUAACAUCACAGAAUCCAAAAAGGUAAGAAGUUAAUCCUCUGUACAACCACAUUCUUUGGUCAUUCCACCAACCUCUUACUGUCCCCCCUAACCAGUAAAACUCCCCCAAACUGUAGGCGUAUUUUCCAACAAAUACAUACGCAAAAGGUAGAAACCAGUAGCUCGAUAACUGUAGGUAUAAAUAGUUAAACACAAUCAAACAUAUGAAUGCUAUUUAUAGUAAAACAAAAUGUAUUGAUUUUGAAAUGCUUGAAAAGUCAAACCUUUGGGAACAGAGAGAUGCGUGCGAGGAGACAAUAAGAAGGCACAAAAACAUAAUAUAGCGUAGCCCAGCAAUUUACAGGCCAUAAAAGGUAACAGCAGUAUGAAAUUUGAAGUUUUAGUGGAAUUUUGUUGUGCCCGAAUACAAGGGGGCAGUAUUUGGAUACGAAUAUCUGGAAUUCGCCUUCUGCCCAUCUUUUUGUCUGAAUUAGUGUCUGUAACAAUGUAGUUGGAGCAAGUCCUAGGAACGCUCUUUUUUUUGGAUUUAAGUGGACAGAUCUCCAACCUCUACAUUUUAUGGAAAGUCCAGUAAUGAUGUCUUCAACUGGACACCCAUACUUUAAUCCCAUCUGUAAGUAUACAGUUAGAUAUAUACUGCAAUGUGUGUGUGUGUGUGAGAGAGAGAGAGAGAGAGAGAGAGAGACCUCUUUUCCCCAUUGAGUGUUGUGUUCAUAGCUACAGCUUGCAAAAAUUUUGCAUUCGUGUUCGAUCACGUCAAUACUUUCUGUAAAUUCUUUAUGAUUUUGUUUCUCCCAAUUGAUUUUUGUGUCUAAGGUAUAGAUUCUGCCACAGAGAGUAUCUCUUCUGUGAAAGCAACCACUUCCGAUGUAUAGGCACCCCCCAUACGAGUCCAAACCUCCAAUAUCCACCUUUACCAUAAGGGUAAAAUGGUCAUUUACUUACAUUAUAGGGUCCAAAAAGAAAAACAAUCUUACAUCAUUUAAGACCAUCAGAGAAUUGCUGUAAAGAUCGUUUCUUGUAAGAUUAUCAAAGUUUUGUGGAAACUGUACGAAUGCAAUAUUAUUUUGGCUCCUUUCAUCCAUGAAAAAGCACAUGGCAUCUCGUAUAGAUUCUGAGUUGUUUGAGUACAUAUCGCAAUCUACAUUUAGAAUAAUUGGGUUGUUGCUUAUCUUUGAUGACACCCGUAUCUGUUGAUUCAUUUACAAAUGAGUAAAUCGCUAAUUAUUCUUUUUGUUAUACAUGAAAUGAUGUGUUGAAUAUAGAUUACCAGAGCAUUCAUGGCUCCUGCUUUGAAGUUAUGAUGCCAUUCACGUCUCUUCUCACGUGCCACGUAUACCAAACCUGGCAAACUUUUCCCUUCUGUA